GGAGAGAACCCACACAAACACGGGGAGAACAUGCAAACUCCACAGAGAAAGGCCACAGGGGGGAAUCAAACCCAUGACCUUAUUGUUGUGAGGCAACAGUGCUAACUACUAAUUCACUGUGCUGCCUAAUGAAGGAUGUUAGUAUUAUUU